AGUGAACGCUGGCGGUAGGCCUAACACAUGCAAGUCGAACGGCAGCACAGUAAGAGCUUGCUCUUACGGGUGGCGAGUGGCGGACGGGUGAGGAAUACAUCGGAAUCUACUUUUUCGUGGGGGAUAACGUAGGGAAACUUACGAUAAUACCGCAUACGACCUACGGGUGAAAGCAGGGGAUCUUCGGACCUUGCGCGAUUGAAUGAGCCGAUGUCGGAUUAGCUAGUUGGCGGGGUAAAGGCCCACCAAGGCGACGAUCCGUAGCUGGUCUGAGAGGAUGAUCAGCCACACUGGAACUGAGACACGGUCCAGACUCCUACGGGAGGCAGCAGUGUGGAAUAUUGGACAAUGGGCGCAAGCCUGAUCCAGCCAUACCGCGUGGGUGAAGAAGGCCUUCGGGUUGUAAAGCCCUUUUGUUGGGAAAGAAAAGCAGCAGGUUAAUACCCCGCUGUUCUGACGGUACCCAAAGAAUAAGCACCGGCUAACUUCGUG
rnacentral:rRNA from 1 species